AUUAAUAGCAAAAGUUUCAGUGAAAACUAUUUGAUACAUCAAAGGAUGAAUAGUCCCCUACACCAACGUGACUCAUUUCAAUGCCUUCUUGUAUGAAUGUACUUAUACACUGGAACGCAGCCAUGCUUAGGAAUCGCCUACAAGUGUUUUAGCGGAUUAUACUGGCCUCGAAGCUUUGUCUAAAGCUUAUUUUAUCGGCUUCAGACAGGACGAAAGACAAAGUCGACCUUGACGUAACUUGAACGGAAAUAAAUAUCACAAG